AAAGGAAUAGACGGGGGCCCGCACAAGCGGUGGAGCAUGUGGUUUAAUUCGAUGAUACGCGAGGAACCUUACCAGGGCUUAAAUGUGUUUUGACCGAUUUGGAAACAGAUCUUUCGCAAGACAAAAUACAAGGUGCUGCAUGGUUGUCGUCAGCUCGUGCCGUGAGGUGUCAGGUUAAGUCCUAUAACGAGCGCAACCCCUUUUGUUAGUUGCCAUCGAGUCAUGUCGGGAACUCUAACAAGACUGCCAGUGUAAACUGCGAGGAAGGUGGGGAUGACGUCAAAUCAUCACGGCCCUUACGUCCUGGGCCACACACGUGCUACAAUGGCCGGUACAGAGAGCAGCCACUGGGCGACCAGGUGCGAAUCUUUAAAACCGGUCUCAGUUCGGAUUGGAGUCUGCAACUCGACUCUAUGAAGCUGGAAUCGCUAGUAAUCGGAUAUCAGCCAUGAUCCGGUGAAUACGUUCCCGGGCCUUGUACACACCGCCCGU
rnacentral:rRNA from 1 species